UACGGAGGGUGCAAGCGUUGUCCGGAUUUAUUGGGUUUAAAGGGUGCGUAGGCGGCUUUAUAAGUCCGUGGUGAAAGCCAACAGCUCAACUGUUGAACUGCCAUGGAUACUGUAAGGCUUGAGUACAGACGAGGUAGGCGGAAUGGAUGGUGUAGCGGUGAAAUGCAUAGAUAUGACAUAGAACACCAAUUGCGAAGGCAGCUGGCUACGCGAAUAUUGACACUGAUGCACGAAAGCGUGGGGAUCAAACAGG
rnacentral:rRNA from 1 species